CAGAGUUGCAAAACUCCCCAAACCAUCGUGAACCUUUACCGCUAACAGUUGCUUCGGCGGGUGGCCCGCGGGGGUGCGCAAGCCGCGCCCCCGGGGGCCGCCGAGCCCGCCGGAGGAAUCCAAAAAACCAUCGCUUUCAGUACCGGCCUCUCUGAGUUAACUGUACUUUAAUUAAGGUCAUAGAAAGCUUUCAACAACGGAUCUCUUGGUUCGGACAGCGAGGAUUCACUGAAGAUUCUGCAAUUCACAUUACUUAUCGCAUUCGCUGCGUUCUUCAUCGAUGCAGAACCAGAGAUCCGUGUUGAAAGUUUGACUAUUCGUACAGAAGACUCAGAGAGGCCUAUUAGCAAGAGUUGGUGACCUCCGGCGGGCCCCAGCGCGGCGCCCGCCGGAGGAAUCCAAAACCAUCUGAUAUUUAGUACGGCCUCUCUGAGUCUUACUGUACUGUAAUAAGUCA
rnacentral:misc_RNA from 1 species